AUGCUCACCAUGAAGAUCCCACCCUCCUUAUUCCUGCUACUAAUCAGCCUCAGCAGUAUUCAGUGUCAAAGUCUUCAGUCUAUUCCCACUGGAUCAGUGGUGAAAAAACCUGGAGAAACUCUCAGUCUUUCCUGUAAAGGAUCUGGGUUUAACUUUGGUGGCUUUGGCAUGCACUGGAUCAGACAACAAGCUGGAAAAGCCCUGGAAUGGAUUGGGGUUAUCUGGUCUGAUGCCAGUAAAACUGUAUAUGCCACACACAUUGAAGGACGUUUGGAAAUUACCAGAGACAACUCCAAUAACAUGGUGUAUCUGAAGCUGACAGGUUUGACUGCACAGGACACGGCUGUGUAUUACUGUGGCAGACACACAGCAUGA